UCGGGGCAUUGGUGACAGGUGGUGCAUGGUUGUCGUCAGCUCGUGUCGUGAGAUGUUGGGUUAAGUCCCGCAACGAGCGCAACCCUUAUCUUCAGUAGCCAGCAGUAAGAUGGGCACUCUGGAGAGACUGCCAGGGAUAACCUGGAGGAAGGUGGGGAUGACGUCAAAUCAUCAUGCCCCUUAUGACUUGGGCCACACACGUGCUACAAUGGCGUAAACAAAGAGAAGCGAGAGCGUGAGCUGGAGCAAAUCUCAAAAAUAACGUCUCAGUUCGGACUGUAGUCUGCAACCCGACUACACGAAGCUGGAAUCGCUAGUAAUCGCGGAUCAGAAUGCCGCGGUGAAUACGUUCCCGGGUCUUGUACACACCGCCCGUCACACCAUGGGAGUUGGUAAUGCCCGAAGUCAGUGAUCCAAGAAAGGAAGCUGCCGAAGGCAGGACUGAUAACUGGGGUGAAGUCGUAACAAGGUAGCCGUAUCGGAAGGUGCGGCUGGAUCACCUCCUUUCUAAG
rnacentral:rRNA from 1 species